UCUUCCCCCCAACCCCCACCCCGGCCGCGGGAAGGGACCUACUUUUGGGCAGUUUCCUCGCUCGCGCCUUAGAUCUCAUCUUGACGGCGGAGUGGAUCCCUCCUUGAACCCGCGGCUGCUCUGCCGCGCUAUCUUCAUCUCCCGAGCAUUGUCAGUUUGGACACCUUCGCACAUGCGCACAGAGCAUUCAAUCUGACACCCUCUCCGGGGCCAAAAAAACUUUCCAAUGUAUUCAUCACCAUCGGGGUUGGGGUUGGUUGCGGAGUGUGUGUGUGUGAGUGUGAGAGAGGGGGAGAGAGAGAGAGAGAGAGACAGUGUGUGUGUGUGUGGGUUCUUUGUGUGUGAGUGUGGUGGUCCUAGCCUCUUCUUCAGAUCACUUAUCUCAACCCCCUCCUCCUCCUCCUCCUCGCGGAGCACCAUCCUUCCCCCCCCCCUUCCCCGCACUUUCCCCGGAUCUGCCCCUUUAAGCAAAAGCUCCUCUCCCUGCCUAACCCUUUCUGGGCUGCCCCGUGGCCCUCUGGACAAUCUUGCAAGAUGCAACGGGACAUCCCGCCGAAGAGAAAACACAGAUUUCGGAGCAGAAAGUUUGGCAAGAAGAAAACACGGAGGAGAGACGUUUUCAUUUGAUGUGCCCCACUGGCCACCUGGGGGCUGGCAGAAGAGUCCCCCGGGAUUCAUUGCGCUUAAACCAGCAGGUUGGGGAAUAGUCCUAAAUUCCCCCUCCCCGUUGGCAGGGGUCGCCCCCCCCCUUCAUGCCAAAUAACACCUUAAAAGAACUGGAGGGAGUCCCCCCACAGUCCACCCCAUUGCUAACUUUAAUAGGCUCCCUUCAGAAAUAUUGGAGCCCACCGAUUGUCCAUUAAACGCCACCCAAAUCGGAUCAGGGAAAGCAGGUCUUUCGCCGCGGGGUCGGGGGUCUUUUCUGCUUGUUGGGUGCUGCUUCGGGAGUGGUCGCGUCGGAUACGGGGCUUUCCCACCACACCCAGAGGGAUUUCCGAAGGGAAACCCUGACUCAGGGGCGCCUGCGGAACGCGACCUUAGCGCUUGACCCUCUUUGGAAGAACAAUGAGUCCCAUGCAGGACCCGGGUGGUUUGGCGACUGGAGGAGGGUGGGCAGGGGAAGCCCCCCCCCCCAACUGGUUACAAGGCAGCAUCUAUUGAAGUAGAAUAAAGACUGAAAACGUCUCCUAAAUGGGGCGCAUUUUGGCUGCAAACCGGUGCCCAGGAACUUGGGAGUAAGCGCAAAGCAGAGGAUCUCGCUUCUCUGCAAAUAUCUAUAGGGUCGGGCAAGAUCCUGGGAAAACCAGAAUUGAUAUGAACGGGAGGUAGAAAGAAAAUGGAAAAGAAGAUAUAAAGCAAGGAGAUAGUGUUUUUUUUCUCCUUUUAAAUGCAAACGCCUUUUGAGACCACAACGCGGCCCGUUUACGCAGAAGGAAAUUUUACUGGGAUACAAGGAGGAUCGGCUUGCAGCCUAUGCGGGCUUACUCGGAAGAAAAGCCCAUUCUGUUCAGCGGGAUUCACUCCCCAGUAACAGACUUUGGCUUAUACAGUUUUGGGGGAAAUGACAGAGAACGAAGCAGCCGCACAGGAGAAAGAAAAGAAAAGAAAAGAAAAAGGGGAACGGGCAGAGAGAAGGGGGGGGGGGCAGGGAAAGAAAUCCUGCUUGGAUAUAAAAGGGGGGGGGGAGAGAAAGAAAAUAGGCUCAGGAAUUCCUCAGGGAGCGAUUAGUCCCAGAGAGGCAUGUUAUUAAAACAAGGAGGCGACGGGCUCUCUUUUAAUUCGGAUUAACACCUCCAGCCAACUGGCGGCUCUGAAAUCUGAACUUGAUUCGGUUCCAGAACUCCUGCCUCUCUCUCUCCCCCCUCCCUCAUUCCAGCGGCCAGUGGCCGGCGCUCAGCCCCCCCCCCCCCGUCGCUGGCUCUUUCUCCAGCCCCACCUUGACCCGGCCAGGUAGCGCCUGGAUAAUUAUUAGCCAUUAAUUGGGUUCAGGACCUUUGGCGGUGGGAAAAAGAGGCGGGUGACCCCGGGACUCCCCAGAAGAGCCCCGGGGCGAGUUCGUGUGCAGGCACCGUCCCGGGUCCCUCGAGGGCAAACAGAAAAGGCAUUGGGCGGCGGGGGGUGGGGAGGGUUGUUGAGGAUCAUUAGGUGGAAAGGACAGAAACUUUACACGAAGGCAGGACUGGUUUCCAAGGAAAAGAGACCCCCGCUCCCCGCCCCGGUCAGCUUGCUGCGUGCCAGGCGCUUACUGGAACGACCUGGCUGCAGGGUAUGAGAAAGGAGGAGGCUGCAGCUAUAAAAAUCAAGUGCCCUUUAUAAGGAAGGGGUGGGGGGAUAGAAAACUUGCUAGACGGCCUGGGCAGAAAGGGGGGAAACAGAUGCAAAAGAUCGCAUUCCUCUGGCUGCAAGACUCCCCGCCCCUCCUGAAUCACCCAUCACAUUUCGUUCUUUCCGAGGGACAAAGCACUCGACUGAGUUCAUCGACUUGUAAUCUCGACAACUACCCGACAAGGUUGGACCUGUAUCAUGAACCACAUAUUGCAAAGGGGGGAGGGAGGAGGGCUGGGGCUGUUGUGCCCGUGAGCGGAGGCCAGAUUAAAGCCAGGGACUUCCUGGUUGGCUAAUGUACUUUGGAACAAGGGAGGGAAAGUGCAGCAGUAAAAUGUCCAUCUUGUUCAGGAGCUCCUCCCCUUCAUGCAAGACCAGCUCAAGAAUGUUUCCUGGUGUCCCCAAAUGGGACUAGGGCUAGCAGGACCUGGGUUCGAAUUCAUGUCCAGAUGUUCACUAGGUGACCUUGGCCCAGUCACUGUCUUUCAGCUUGGCCUACCUCACAGGGCCAUUGUGAAGAUAAAUCAGAGAAGGCUAGAAUCAUGAAUGCUAAGAAGAUGAAUAUGACCUUAGCAUGACAACAACCUUUCUAAGGGGGGGGGGUUCCCUGAUGAGAGUUGGAAGAGCCUCCUGCAGUCAAUCACUUUUAAUUGUUUGCCACCAUGACAGUCCUAAUUGGAUGGCAAAAACAGCAUACCAAUGUUUGCACAAAUAAAAUGUAGUCAUUUUCUUGUAUUAUUAUGCAUGGAGAAAUCAGUUUCAUAUACUGAUAUCAGUCUGUCUAAUUCUGCAUGUAAGGAUACUUAAAUCCAUGCAUCAGGGCCAUGAAGAAAGAAAUGACAUAUUUCUGCAGACUUGGAGGACCCUCCCAAAUUUGCAGGAAUAUACAAAAAAAUAAAAAGGAAGAAAGAAAAAAAGGAUGGCUCAUUCCGCACAUGCAGAAUAAUGCACUUUCAAACUGCUUUCAGCGCUCUUUGAAGCUGUGCGGAAUAGCAAAAUCCACUUGCAAACAGUUGUGAAAGUGGUUUGAAAAUGCAUUAUUUUGCGUGUGUGGAAGGGGCUGAAGAUAAUUUCCCCUCAGACAGGGGAAGCCAACAUUCCUCUGCUGGUCCAGUGGUGUCCACUUUUCUUCCACAUGUGGGGAAUGUCAGUGGAGGGGCAGGGCAGAAGUUGCUCCUACUCCAUGCAGAACAGAGGGGAGAUCAGAUAGGUGGAUAUAGCAAAGGAAAUGGGCCGGGGUAGGUAGGCAGAGCAGCAGGGGGAAGGACAGUCCAGAGAGAUGCCACUACCAGGGGAUUCCCCCCCCCCCCCUCAACAAAUCUCCCGGGCCCUCCCUUGGUAUACACAUAAAUGACAUAAAUUGCACACACAACAAGCAUGCAAAAAUCCCCUGCCAAUGAGCAUAUACAAUUCGAACGGAUGUAAAAAAACCAAUCAUGCACAAGCAGAGAACUGAAAGGGUUGAAAAAAAAUGAAGCAGAAACAAAAUAGGGAGCAUUUUUUUUGCCCUUUCUGUUUUUUGGGAGAGAAAAAAAAAGAGGUCUAGAAUGGGGGUGGGGGUGGGGUGGAGGCUUCAGUUCACUCCCUUUGCUCCCAAGGUGAGCAGAGGAAGACCUUCCGGGUUUGGCGACAUAUUUUGUUCAUUUAGAACACAAUGAAACUUUCAAAUGUGAGCCAGUUAGAGGCAUAAUUCAAUAGAGCUGGAUGAAGAACUUAUGGGGUGUGAGGUGAUUUUCCAGUAAGCUCUGAUUGCUGGAAGGGAGUGAAGUAGACACGGCAGGAGGAAGGGGGAGGAACAUGGGGUUGGAGGGAAAAAAUACAUGGGAGAUUUGUGGAAAAUAAUUUUGGGGUGUGACAAGAGAGCAGAAUAAAAGAGAAGGUUUCCCUAGGUGGAUCCUUUGCCAUUUUUCUUCAUCUGAAUCUCGCCCUGCUGUUUGGAACUCUAAAUGACUUUUUCUUGUUUCCAUUGUGGAACGAUGUAUUAGGAAUCUUUUGUUCCUGUGUGUGUGUGUGUGUGUGUGUGUGUGUGUGUGUAAAUUUCCAGAUUUUAUACAUGUGCCCAUUUAUCGAAGAUUUCUUAACAUUUGUCUCUUUUAGGCCUCUUCCGCACGUGCAGAAUAAUCCACUUUCAAUCCACUUUCAAUGCACUUUGCAGCUGGAUUUUAAUGUGCAGAAUAGCAAAAUUCACUUGCAAACAAUUGUGAAAGUGGAUUGAAUGUGCAUCAUUCUGCAUGUGUGAAAGGGACCUCAGUCCUUCCUAUAUCACCAUACAUACAACAGCAAUGCUCAACAGAGCAUGCAUGCAUGAAUGCAAAACCAAACCAAAAGGAUAUUAAUGCAAUUACAUGGAAAAGCACUUUGAGAGAUUUUUUUUGCAGUGUUUUCCCACCAUAUAAUUUAGCAAGUUUUUAUCGCCAAGGGCCUCAGGACACUGCAUAUCAUGCUCCUAUUUUGUCCUCACAAAAACCCUGGGAGAUGGAGGAAGCUGAGAGGCACAAGCAUACAUUAGUUAUGUUGCAAGGAGCAGGGUGAAAAUUAAUAUAAAGAACUGCAGAUAUUCCAGUUGCAGAUUUACUUUUAGAAAUUGUCUGGAUUAAACUGGAAUGUAUAAGGAAUGGAAAAUGUUGCAGAGAAAAGAUAUGGAAUAAUGAAGGGAUGGACUAUUUGCUUCAAAAUGACCAACAAAUUAGUCUCAUUCCUUCUUCCAAGUAGUUCAGGGUAGUACACACAGUUCUCCCUUUCUUCCUAUUAUCCUUACAGCAACCCUGCAAUGUAGGAUUGAAUGAGAGUGAAUGCCCCCCACCACUCAGGAUUACCCAGUGAAUUUAAUGGCUUUGUCUAGGGUACACCCAGUCCAACACCUCUCUGGUCCCUUCUACACAUGCAGAAUAAUGCACUUUCAAUCCACUUUCACAAUGGUUUGCAAGUGGAUUUUGCUAUUCUGCACAGUAAAAUCCAACUUCAAAGUACAUUGAAAGUGGAUUGAAAGUGCGUUAUUCUGCAUGUGUGGAAGGGGUCUCAGCGACACAGUGGGUCUCUAAACAUCUUCCUGAAGCAAAGGAGAUCUUACUAAAAAUAUUGUUUUCUUCUUUAGACUCUCUUGUAGUUUAUCUACAGAUUAUCUACUUAAUGAAAUUUGUUUUUCUUUUUCUAUUUUUUUCUGAUGUUCCAUCAUUAUGAACUGUAGUACACAAUUCAUUUCAAAUAGCAAACAGCACAUGUCGACCUAGCAACUCAAGUGUCAUACUUCUUGUAAUCACAGUAUGUAUAUUAGAUCAUUUACCACUGAUCCUGUUUUGUUGGCAUUUUAAAGUCCAAAAUUCAAUAAAUCAAAUUGUUUUUCAAUCAA